GGAGCCGUCGCAUAAUUGGUAUUGCACCGGUCUCGAAAACCGGCGUCCUAACGGACUUGUGGGUUCGAGUCCCACCGGCUCCG
rnacentral:tRNA from 1 species